AGCAGGGAGGCUCAGUGGUAAGAGCCCGGGCUUGGGAGUCAGAGGUCAUGGGUUCUAAUCCCAGCUCUGCCA
rnacentral:tRNA from 1 species